GACGAACGCUGGCGGCGUGCUUAACACAUGCAAGUCGAACGGAAAGGCCCUGCUUGCAGGGUACUCGAGUGGCGAACGGGUGAGUAACACGUGGGUGAUCUGCCCUGCACUUCGGGAUAAGCCUGGGAAACUGGGUCUAAUACCGGAUAGGAGCCAUUUUUAGUGUGAUGGUUGGAAAGUUUUUUCGGUGUAGGAUGAGCUCGCGGCCUAUCAGCUUGUUGGUGGGGUAAUGGCCUACCAAGGCGGCGACGGGUAGCCGGCCUGAGAGGGUGGACGGCCAACAUUGGACCUAGAGAAGGGCCAGACCCCGACGGGGGGCAGGAGGGGGGAAUUUUUGCCAAUGGGCGCCAGCCUGGUUGAGCGAAGGCGCGUGGGGGAUGACGGCCUUCGGGUUGUAAACUCCUUUCGCUAGGGACGAAGCUUUUUGUGACGGUACCUAGAUAAGAAGCACCGGCUAACUACGUG
rnacentral:rRNA from 1 species